CCCUUGAUAGGAAAGUCUGGAGGUCUAGUAUCAGGGUUGUAGGAUAGGGGCUCCUAGAGUUUUUCGUACUCCUCACCCAGGGUUGGGUGAGGCUUGGUAGGGCUAUCCAUAGAUGAUUUGUGUUUUGGCUUAUGUAUCUCUUAUGGUAGUUAUUUAUGGUAGUUACUGUAUUAUAUUAUUGCAUGCUAUUUUAUUUAUGUUUCUUAUGUUUAGAUAAUUAUUUA
rnacentral:lncRNA from 1 species